UACGUAGGGACCAAGCGUUGUUCGGAUUUACUGGGCGUAAAGGGCGCGUAGGCGGCAAUUCAAGUCAUCUGUGAAAUCUCCGGGCUUAACCCGGAACGGUCAGAUGAUACUGCUUUGCUAGAGUGCGGAAGGGGCAAUCGGAAUUCUUGGUGUAGCGGUGAAAUGCGUAGAUAUCAGGAGGAACACCGGUGGUGUAGACGGCUUUCUGGACCGUAACUGACGCUGAGACACGAAAGCGUGGGUAGCAAACAGG
rnacentral:rRNA from 1 species